UGGCUUUGCCUUCUUUCCUGCAGCAGGGGCUGGCACCGAAGAUGGAGUGCUUCCUUCAGGAAAUGGCACCUUCCACUGAAGCACUAUGUCCACCUCUUGACAAAAGAAGGGAGACAGCUGCAUCACAUGGAGCUGUUCCCAGUUGGGCGGUGGUAUCAGAGGAAUGGAUCCUACUAAAGCAGGCUCAGCCUGUGCGGUCAGCAGGGACACACUACUCACCCCGGUGAUGGGAGCUGGGCUUGAGUGCAGCAUCCAAGGAAUGGAUCCUACAAAAGCAGGGCUCAGCCUGUGCGAUCAGCAGGGACACAAUAUUCACCCCUGUGAUGGGAGCUGAGCUUGUCAGCAAUAACCACCAAAGGACGUAUGAAAGUCCUCCCUGCAGACACACCUGUAACUCAACAGCCACAGAAGCUUCUGCCAUCUCUGCUGAUCUGUACGGGCACC